AGAAAUGGAAAAGACCAACAUUAUUCCUGCCGUGAUCAUUGUUAUUCUAGCAUUCAUUGUAGGUGUGGGUCUGGCUGUAUGGUAUAUUUUAUAUAGGAAAGGUAAGAUGCAAGUUGGCAACUAUAUUGUUCGAUUGUUUUAAAGUAUACAGAGUAAAUAAGUAAAGAAUAAUCUAUAGUAUAAACCAGAGAUGUUUCAGUUCCAUUGUGAGUUGAUUGACUUAAAUACAGUAAAUGAUUUGUGGAGAUACACAAUAGUGUGUAAUAUAGGGAAUAAAAAAAAACAACUAAUAACAUUUAGUACCCAAACUCUUACUACUCUUGGGCAGAAGCAAUGGCUAUAGUAUUCAUCAGCCCAAAUAUAUAAACAAAACCUAAAUAAGUCACAAGGCACUAUCUGAAAUCCCUGUAGACAUUUAAAUAUCAGAUGUUUUUCGUAAAAUUUUACAUUUUCACUUAUACCAUAAAAAGUCCAGUUUAAGCAGUUUGAUAAACAGAUUAGACACCCUUAGUGACUUUUCCCCAUUCUAUGUGUAUGUAUAAUAAUGAUUAUGUUCAUGUAUUUUCACAGUGCCACCAGUGCUUUCAAACAUUACUGGAAAUGAAAGUCUUGUUCAUAAGAAUAGAGCGACUCUGUCGUGUCAAAUCACAAAUUUCCGACCAAGAGCAAUUGAGAUUUCUGUAUAUCUGGAAAGGGUAGGGGGAAGCCUAGUGAUGGUGGGCCAGUGGAAAUCGGGGGAGCAACUCAGCAAUGGAAAUAAUACAGCACCAGAAACAAACAUUAUCCAGGGAGAUUACCAACUGGUUUCUGUGGUAGGACAUGAAGAUGGGCUUAGUAACGGCAGCUCAGUUCUGACGCCACCAAUGCAGCUGGAACUAAUUGCUGAAAUUAAAACAAAUAAAACGAACCGCACCUCAAGCUGCCAGUGUUCUAUUCAUUUAACUCCAGACAAAGAUGAAGAUAAUAAUGCGCGUCUGUCGUUGCAAGUGAGACAUGCAUCUCUGAAGGAACCACAAUCAAUAUGCUGUGUGCUGAAGGUGAAUGGAGGUAAGCAUGAAUCAUUAAUUGAUCUACUUAAGAAAAAUAAAAUUGUUAUAAAUCUGUAACAAUAGGUAGAGCUUCUCAGUCAAAUCCCCUGCAGUAAAAUGCUUAAAAUAUGUGAGAAAAGCUGAUUUAUCUUAAAACAUUAUAAGCUAUUGUUGGUUUUUAACUAAAGCAGGAAUUUUGGAAAAACCCAUAGCCUAUAAAAAUGGAAUUCUUUGUUAAGCCACAAACUGAGGAGAACUGAGAAGAAAUUAUGUUUAAUGUUUUUGUCUUUAAAUGAUUUUGGCAAUGAUUACUGCAAAAGACAUGGUUAUUAUAUAAACGUAAAGCUGUGUUUAUCUAUCUUUAGUUCCUCCAAAGUUAUCUCAAAUCGUGGCUCCUCUGCAAAUAGUCCACAAAGAUUACCUGACCCUCACCUGUGCCAUAAAUGGGUUUAAGCCACGACCGUUGACAGUCACAUGGUUGAAAGUGGAUGCUGCUGAUGACGCUGGUAACAAGACGAAACUUCUGUCUUCUGAUCAGGAUGGACUGCCAAUACAAUUUGCCAAAUAUUCUCACAAACGACUUGAAACGGCCAAUGAUGACGACCACACGUACAGCAUUCUAAGUACUCUGACCAUGAAACCCACCAUAAAAGAAGAUCAUGGUGCAAAAUAUAUCUGUAGGAUCUUUCACCCUUCCACAGGCAAAUCUAUAGAAAAAAGUGUGGAUAUAGAGGUUUCAGGUGCGUUACCAUGAGAAAAUAUAAUCAUUUAUAUAUUAUAAUAAUAUAACAUAUUGAGUAUUAUUACUUUCAGUUCUUUAUAAAAACUCAGUGUCCAAAUUGCUCCCAGCUACCCAACUAAACAUUAUACUAGACUCAGAGAAAUUUCUUAUGCUGUGAGGCAGGGAAUAAAGAGUCCUGCCCAACUGGAUGUAUUUUUCAAAGCUCCCCAGAGGAAAAGGAAUAUGCUUAAAAUAACAUGGAUAUUGUGCUCAUUUAUUGAUUUUCUUUAGACAUACAGUUGCAAGAAAAAGUAUGUGAACCCUUUGGAAUGAUAUGGAUUUCUGCACAAAUUGGUCAUAAAAUGUGAUCUGAUCAUCAUCUAAGUCACAACAAUAGACAAUCACAGUCUGCUUAAACUAAUAACACACAAAGAAUGAAAUGUUGCCAUGUUUUUUUUGAACACACCAUGUAAACAUUCAAAGUGCAGGUAAAAAAAAGUAUGUGAACCCUUGGAUUUAAUUACUGGUUGAACCUCCUUUGGCAGCAAUAACUUCAACCAAACAUUUCCUGUAGUUGCAGAUCAGACGUGCACAACGGUCAGGAGUAAUUCUUGACCAUUCCUCUUUACAGAACUGUUUCAGUUCAGCAAUAUUCUUGGGAUGUCUGGCGUGAAUCGCUUUCUUGAAGUCAUGCCACAUCAUCUCAAUCGGGUUGAGGUCAGGACUCUGACUGGGCCACUUCAGAAGGCGUAUUUUCUUCUGUUUAAGCCAUUCUGUUGUUGAUUUACUUCUAUGCUAUGGGUCAUUGUCCUGUUGCAACACCCAUCUUCCGUUGAGCUUCAGCUGGUAGACAGAUGGCCUUAAGUUCUCCUGCAAAAUGUCUUGAUAAACUUGGGAAUUCAUUUUUCCUUCGAUGAUAGCAAUCGGUCCAGGCCCUGAAGCAGCAAAGCAGCCCCAAACCAUGAUGCCACCACCACCAUACUUCACAGUUGGGAUGAGGUUUUGAUGUUGGCGUGCUGUGCCUUUUUCUCGCCACACAUAGUGUUGUGUAUUUCUUCCAAACAACUCAACUUUGGUUUCAUCUGUCCACAGAAUAUUUUGCCAGUACUGCUGUGGAACAUCCAGCUGCUCUUGUGCAAGCUGUAAACGUGCAGCAAUGUUUUGUUUGGACAGCAGUCGCUUCCUCUGUGGUAUCCUCCCUUGAAAUCCAUUCUUGUUUAGUGUUUCACGUAUUGUAGAUUCGCUAACCGGGAUGUUAGCAUUUGCCAGUGACUUUUGUAAGUCUUUAGCUGACACUCUAGGAUUCUUCUUCACCUCAUUGAGCAGUCUGCGCUGUGCUCUUGCAGUCAUCUUUACAGGACGGCCACUCCUAGGGAGAGUAGCAGCAGUGCUGAACUUUCUCCAUUUAUAGACAAUUUGUCUUACCGUGGACUGAUGAACAGCAAGGCUUUUGGAGAUACUUUUAUAACCCUUUCCAGCUUUAUGCAAGUCAACAAUUCUUAAUCGUAGGUCUUCUGAGAGCUCUUUUGUGCGAGGCAUCAUUCACAUCAGGCAAUGCUUCUUGUGAAAAGCAAACCCAGAACUGGUGUGUGUUUUUAUAGGGCAGGGCAGCUGUAACCAACACCUCCAAUCUCAUCUCAUUGAUUGGACUCCAGUUGGCUGACAUCUCACUCCAAUUAGCUCUUGGAGAUGUCAUUAGUCUAGGGGUUCACAUACUUUUUCCACCUGCACCUGCAAUGUUUACAUGGUGUGUUAUUAAUUUAAGCAGACUGUGAUUGUCUAUUGUUGUGACUGAGAUGAUGAUCAGAUCACAUUUUAUGACCAAUUUGUGCAGAAAUCCAUAUCAUUCCAAAGGGUUCACAUACUUUUUCUUGCAACUGUAUAUGGACACUACAUGCUGAUAGACAGCAUUCUUUGUGCUCAGAAACAACAACAAGCAUGGUUCAGCACUGGAGAGAUACUAGUAACAUUUAAGAAGGCAGCUCAGACAACCCAGGCCGGAGUCUCUCUUACCUGGAUGAAGUGGAAGUAGUAAGGUGAAGAAGCUCUGGGAGAAGCACAUUAUUAUAGUGUCUGAUUAUAUAUGCAACACAAGAUGGGAGGGCAAAGAAAAAAAUAUUGGGUAGUAUAUUACUUGUGGAUCAGAAGUGAAAAUGAUGCACUUACAAGAGGUCGAGUUGAAAAGCUCCUCUUGAUUGCACUUAAGCGGUAUAAUCCCCACCUGGAGAUAUUGCAGUGUGUCUCUUGGACUUGGUAGAUCAUCCAAAGGAUAUGGAACAAAACACAGCUCUGGUGGUACACUCCGCACCUCGGAGAAUGAACACUUGGAAUUAGUAACUUUAUUAAGUGGAAGACUAUAAUUAACAUAUUAAAACAAUUACAUUAAAAGUUACAUGACACAUUUCACCACAGCAUAGGGCUUUUUUCAAGUGUUACAGAGACCUGGACACAUAGCAGUGUUUAUAGCAAUGCUAAUAAUUUAAAUGUUCGUGGUAAAAUGUUGUGAUGACAUCACCAACAUGUGGCAUAAUUGUUUUAAUCUGUUAAUUAUUAUAUUCCACUUAAUAAAGUUACUAAUUCUUCUAACUACCCUGUACCAUUCUGUCUAUCAUGGAAGUUCCAAUAUCUCCCCCGAUGAUCGUUCUCCUAGGUGGGGAGUUUACCACCAGAGCUGUAUGGAAUGAGCAAAACCCUGUUUUGCUCUUAAGGCAUAAGUGUAUUUUCAUUAGCUUUACCACUUAACUUACACAGUGUGCACUAUAUAGCUGUUUACUGUUUUUAAAUAUGUUGCAUAGAAGAUACCACAUCACCUAUACCCAUAGAGUGGGGAUUAUACUACUCCACGCAGUCAAAAGGAGCCAUAACUUUAGGCUCCAAUAAAUGUCAGUGUAUUUCCUAUUUUUUAUGUUGUUUUGUGAUACUUGGCUAUUAUAAAUACUACACUAUAUAGUGUCCACUCUUGUGUUUUAAUCCAUAUCCUUUGGACCACCUACCAAGACCAAGAGACACACUGCAAUAUCCUUAGCUGGGGAUUAUACCGCUCAAGCGCAAUCAAGAGGAUCUUUUCAGCUCCAUCCCUUUCUCUUCUGAUACACAAGUUGUAUUAGAUACUACACUAUAUUACUUUUUUCUUUGCCCUCCCGUCUUCUGUUACAUAUAUCAUCGGAGGCUAUAAUGAGGCUCUACUCCCAACCUCUUCACCUUUCUACUCUUUGUGUUCAGCCUAAAGGAGUGUAGAAUUUGUAUGUAGUACAAUUGAGUAAGAAAUGGCUGACAUGGAAACUGUAUCGAUACCCGGAUCCUUGAGUUCCAUCCCUUACGCUUUCUAUCAUCGCAUCCAUUUCUGUAAGCAGUCCUAAAGAUUGAGGAAGUGAGACUACAGAGUCUUGAUUAAAAAAAAAGGUGUAGGUGUUUUUUCAAGUGUGCUGGGAGGCUGUAUAAGCCUUAAACAAGAUGUGGCUAGGGAUGCCUUAACAAAGCGAUUUAACACCUAAAUGGCAGAGAAUUGAGCAAUGAGAUUGCAGGAGCAUGAUCUAUGCCCGAAAACUGCUUCAUUCCAGGGGCAUUAUAGGCAUCAAAACAACUUUAUCUUAAUUAAGCAGCUUUGUUAUAUAGAUCAUGACAUUACAUGUCCCUGCAGUCUCACUGCUCAGUUCUCUGCCAUUUAGGAAUAAAAUCCCUUUUGUUUCUGUUAAUGCAGCCCUAGACACAAUUUUUCUUGCUGUGACUUACACGGUCUGCAUAAAAUAUAUAUAUAUUUUUUGCAUUUUUAAUCAGAUGUUAACGUGCUUUAGAAGCUUUUGUCUUCUUCUCUGUAAAUUGACUUUUAAAGGACAACUAUAGGCACCCAAACCACUUCAGCUUAAUGAAGUGGUCUGGGUGCCAGGUCCAUCUAGGUUUAACCCUUUUUGCUGUAAACAUAGCAGUUUCAGAGAAACUGCUAUGUUUACUUUAGGGUUAAUCCAGCCUUUAGUGGCUGUCUCAUUGACAGCCGCUAGAGGCGCUUCCGCGCUUCUCACUAUGAUUUUCACAGUGAGAAGACGCCAGCAUCCAUAGGAAAGCAUUGAGAAUGCUUUUCCAUGGACUGGCUGAAUGUGCGCGCGCAUUCAGCCGAUGACAGCGAAAAGGAGGAGGAGAGUUCCCCGCGCCGAGGAAGCCUGGCGGGGGAAAACAGGUAAGAUUUAACCCCUUCCACCCCCUAGAGCCCGGCGAGAGGGGGACCCAGAGGGUGGGGGGGGGACAUAGAGACCCUAUAUUGCCAGGAAAACGAGUAUGUUUUCCUGGCACUAUAGUGUUCCUUUAAUCACACCCAGGAGACUCCUGCUGGGUCUGGAAAGCUAUUAACAGACAGGAGAUAAUAAAUUCUAAAGUAAACAGACUGUGCAAUAAAGGAAAUGUAAACAUUAUAGCAAGUGUUUAGAAAAGCUGUGUAAGUCACAUGCAGGGAUAUGUUAUUAGGGUUGUAGAAACAAAGUGAUUUAGCGCCUAAAUGACAGAGAAUUGAGCAGUGAAACUGCAGGGACAUGAUCUAUACACCAAACCUGCUUAAUUAAGCUAACAUUGUUUAGGUACCUUUAGUGCCCCUUAUAGUUAAAUUUGUUUUGGUAUUUAUAGUGUCUUUUUGCAUUACUUACAAUUCACACUUUAGUGAAUAAGCCUGAGUGAGGUUUCUAACACAACAAUACUUUAAAUACAUAAUUACAUUAACAUGUACAGAUAAGUCAUUACCAAAGAAAUCCCACUUCCACCAUCGAAGUAUUUAUUUUCUUUUUUACUGUCUUUAGCUAAACCAGUGCUGGAUCCAAUUCAGAGCAACCAUGAUGAGACACAAGAACCAUUGAAUUUGGAGAAUAAUAUUGAACUCUCAUGUCGAAUUCAUUCCUAUUAUAACCGGACACUAACCGUUACCUGGUACAAAGGCAACACUAUCCUCCCAUUCAAAAACAGUGACAUACUAACUGAUUCAAGUGGACUAUUUUACUUUACCAGUAACGUAUCAUACAGGCCUCAAAUAGAGGACAUUGGGAAGGAAUUUAGGUGUGAAGUUGCCCAUGAGAGUCUUGAAUUCCCUAUAAAUCAAAGCUGGAAACUGAAAAACCUGAGUGAGUAACAUCAAUAAUUACUGUGGGAUCCUUAAUUGGUGCCAAAAAGUGAUGUUAGGUUAUUUGUAGUUUUCAAACUGCAAUGGGGUUACAUGUGAAGGGUAGUGAUGUCCCGAACGGUUCGCCAAACGGUUCGCAAACGGUUCACCACGGACUCAUCAUUGAGUAAACUUUGACCCUGUACCUCACAGUCAACAGACACAUUCCAGCCAAUCAGCAGCAGACCCUCCCUCCCAGACCCUCCCACCUCCUGGACAGCAUCCAUUUUGAAGCUGCAUUCUUAGUGAGCUGUCCAGGAGGUGGGAGGGUCUGCUGCUGAUUGGCUGGAAUGUGUCUGCUGACUGUGAGGUACAGGGUCAAAGUUUACUCAAUGAUGAGUCCGUGGCGAACCGUUCGCGAACCGUUCCGCGAACCGUUCGGCGAACCGUUCGGGACAUCACUAGUGAAGGGAUUUUCUAAAACCUAUAGAUGUGUAAAAUCCACCAUGACUUCUAAUUCAAAGCCUCAAAAUUUGUGGAAGGGACAUUAUAGUCCCUGUCUGUUUAACCCUGCAGUGUAAAACUUAACGUUUUCAAAAAACAAAAAAUUGUUUACAUUGCAGGGUUAAAUCCAACUGUAGAGGCGCUUUCUGUUCCCUAAAGGAAUUUUACUUCAUUAAAUGACAUUAGACGGCCUCAUGCUUUGCAUAAGGACAUAUAUUGUCUUCAAAUUCCCUAUAGGAAAGCAUUGAUAUAAUGAAUAGAGAUGUCGCGAACUGUCCGCCGAACUGUUCGCGAACUGUCCGCCGGCGAACAAUAGCGUGUUUGCGUUGGGCGAACAUAUCCGAUUUCCGGUCCGCCCCCUAUACAUCAUCAUUGAGUAAACUUUGACCUGGAACCUCACAGUCAGCAGACACUUCCUGGGAGGGAGGGUCUGCUGCUGAUUGGGUGGAAUGUGUCUGCUGGCUGUGAGGUUCCGGGUCAAAGUUUACUCAAUAAUGACGUAUAGGGGGCGGACCGGAAAUCGGAUAUGUUCGCCCAACGUGAACACGCUAUUGUUCGCCGGCAGACAGUUCGCGAACAGUUCGGCGGACAGUUCGCGACAUCUCUAAUAAUGAAUUCCUAUGGGGAACCUUUAAUGUGACUUUGUGGGAAGAGGGUCCUUUAACAUUUGCAUGCCGGACAAUGGGGUGACCAAAUAAGUUAGGGAAGGGACACUAUAGCAUCAGAAAUACAUGUUUGUAUUCCUAACACUAUAGUGUCCCUUUAAAGGGAGACUCCAGACUCGUAAAGAACUUUAGUUUGCUGAAAAACUUUAUGUGUGCAGAGUGUGUCCUCUCUUUUUCAAUUUACAAAAAAGUGCAGAAUUUAAUAGAAACUGAGACUUUGAUAAAUGAACCUUGUUACACCUCCCUGGCUGUCAAUCAGAUAACCAGUCCUGUCACUUCCUGGUUUGUUUAGCUCAGUGAAAAACUGAAGAGGCAGCAAUUGCCCAGAGCAUCUGCCUUGCAAAGACUUCUCAUUGAGCUGCAUUAGGAAGUCUGUGUUUGGACAGCCACAUAAAGUCUGGACUGGGGAAGAUCUGCAGCUUUUGCAAGCAGUUUUUAAGUAUAACCCAAGUGAAAAAAACGCAUAAAUGUUUUCAUAUGUACUUAAUAUUGAUUUUAUUUUCAUUUGUUAGAGGGACCUAAGGUCUAUUUACAUUUGAGCACCCUCCCCCCAAAAUAGUGAACUAAAGAAUUAUAAUUUACUUAAUGCCUUGUAUUCCACAGACACUGCCUCAUAACAUCAGUGAUUGCACUGCUAAAACUGCCGGGAUAGUCUCUUUGCCACAGAACUACUACAUUAAGCUAUAGUUGUUAUGGUGCAUAGUGUCCCUAUAAGGACAAAACACAAAAGUUUAACUACAUGCCAUCUUUAAAAAAAAAAAAAUAUUUUUUUUUUUAGUACUUUAGUAAGAGAUUUGUAGACAUUUUAAUUUUCAUUUCAAAUCAAACAGAAUCUGAAAAUCACUGUACUAGAAAAUAAAGUGAUUAUUAGGAAAUUCUGAUUUUCUUUUUUAACAUGUAAUAUUAUUUUUUCCUCGUCUCCUUGGCACUGUUUCUAAAGCAGCUUGCAGCAUCCCUGAAAGCAUGAAAGAUUAGGGGGGAAAAUAGGGAGGGAAUAGCGGGGGACAAGUAACACUUUAAUCAGACCUCCUGCAUAAGUGCUCAGACCUCAACAACAUGCCAUUUUGUUUUAUUCAGCUUUCAUAUGCACAAGGGAGAAAUUAUGAGGUUCUUCUUUAAAACAAACAUACAUUUCACAAUAUUUUAUUCACUUAAUCACAAGUUGUAAGAUAUGUUUUAUUGCUAAUUCUGUUGAUAAUUUUUCUUUAACCUGUUAAUUUGUUACUGUGGAACCCCCGAAGUUUCUAAUGUAUCCACCUUGACAUUUAUAUCUUUCAGUCUCUAGGCCAAAACUAAGUGAGAUACUAUGUCAACCUGAAAACCCUGCUUGUAGGAAACCAGUCACUUUAUCAUGUACAAUCAGAGACUUCUACCCUGAGGACAGUGACAUUAAAUGGUAUCGGGGUUCAAAGGAGUUAACUAAUGAAGUAGAUACUGAAAAUGCCCAAAAAGACACAACUUCUGGCUUAUUCUCCAGAACCACAAAUCUGCGAUUUACACCUUCAGAGGAAGAUCAAAGUGCACAGUUUAUUAUGAGACUCUAUCACUGUGGAAAAAACACAGAAAAGAAAUUUAGCCUGAAAUUAGAAGGUAUGCCAUAUCAUUAAUAUUGUUUAUACUAUAUAUAACGUAAUAACAUGCUGCUGCCAGGCUGAUUUCUCUCUGCCAUCGCUCCUCUCACACUUCACCCCUCUGUCAAUCUUUACAUUGACUACCUGAACCCUACUAACCCUUACCUAUACAGCUCUAAACAACUUUACCCCACAAUACAUUUCUUCACUGAUUCAUAGCUAUGCAAUUUCUUGAUCGCUCCACUCUUCUGGUGACCUUCUGCUGUUUGCUGCUCGUACCCUUACUGCUAACUCCUUUGGAGCAGCCUGCAUACUCCUAUCAGACUCUCCCCUUGUCUUCAAUCAUUUAAGAAGCCCCUCAAAUCACAUCUCUUCAGAAUAGCCUGUGGCCUGUGGUUCCUAGAGGAACUCAUAGAGCAACUUUUAUUUCACAAAUUUAUCUUUCACGCUCCCUUAAAAGGCCACACUCCACUCUCACCUUCUAAUUCUGCUACUUUCCCACCAUGUCGCUUGAUUGCUAUCCCCCAUGUUCCCCUUCCAAUUGUGUUUUUAUACACCACCUCUUCUAAAUUGUUAGCUCUUUUGAGCAGGGUCCUCAUCAAUCUAUUGUUCCAGUAAUAUUUUGUAAUUGUGUCAUUUAUUGUAAAAUUUCCCCCUCUCUAAUAUUGUAAAGCAUGGUGACAUAUGUUGGCGCUAUAUAAAUGCUAAUAAUAAUAAUAAUAAUAACAUAUCAUGCAGAGUGCUGCUGGGAGAGAAUGUAGUCACAUUUUGGGGUCUAUUUGCAAAGGCACUUUGAAAAAUGUAUAAAUGUGUAUAAAUUGCUAUAAAACUACAAUCAUUAAUUCAUGACUUUUAUUCAGUAUUUCAUACAGUACACAAUACAUAAAAUGUUUCGAUCUCACAGGGCUUCCAGUUGUUAAGAAUGUCACCUGUGAUACAAUUAAUAUAAAGUAUGAAGAUUCGCUGACUCUUCGCUGCGACGUAGUAGACUGUAAUCCCGCAGAUAUCAGCGCUGAAUGGUUAGAGAAUAAAACGCAGAUUAAAAGGAAUGACAGAGCAAUGACUUAUGAAAACCACCAGGAAAGGUGGAAAUCAUUUCUGCUCCAAGUAAUCCCUACAGCUGAGGACUACGCAAAGAAGUAUACCUGUUUGGUAAAACACAAGGGUAUGCAAACACCGCUCGGGAAAGCAUCUACAUUAUUAAAUCUUCCAGGUAUGAGCAUGGGUUUCUGUAAUGUAUGUGUGUAAACUUUUCAGGUGCUCUGUGAGUAAGAAAGUUAAUAAAUGUGAACAUUGUUACAAAGGUUUUUUGUAGAAAGGGCUGCGGAUGGAUAAAUAAAAAUGCUACAUUUUCUUUUGACAUUUUCUUUUGUGACCUAAUGUUAUAUUAAGGCACAUCUGCCAUGUCAAAAAGAAUACAAUUUAACCUUUACAUUGCCCCAACCACAUUCCCACUGAAUGUAUGGGUGAAAAGGAUAUUCUCUUGAAGAGUAAGUAACUGUAUAUUUUAAUCUGAAAUGUUGCCAGUUCAAUGUAUGAAUUAAAGGCACAGCAUCGCUCUAAAGAUUUGCCUGUAUUUGGUAAUGUUGAAUAGCUGCCAUAAACAACAAUUCCUGCCUCCCAAGGAUGUCUGAAAACAAUUGCUGAUUUCAUUUUCAUUUCCAUGAAUAAAAAAAACGUUAUUGUGAGUAAAGGACAUAUGUGGAUAAAAAGUGGAUCAUAGACCACACAGAGAGGAGGAUUAGUAGACUUAGUAAAGUUGGGCUUUGAGGUCUCAGUGGAUGUCAUAAUUAUCUCUGUACCAAACCAUUUUAACCGUUAGAACUCCGAAAGACCUCCUCUGACGGUUCUAGUAAUGAAGAGAUUGCCACUAUGAAGCCAGCAUUGUUUAUGCAAUUUAAUAAUUUUUUUUAACUAUAUAGAUUUUUUUCAAAAAAAUUAAAAAAAUUUUAUUGCAUAGAGCAGUCACAGAGGCAGCAAGUUAGGUUGAGCAGCAGUUGGUCAGAAAACAGUAGAAUAUGAGCCAACAUUGCUGCUUACCUAGAUAAAAAGUCAAAUUUAUCAAGAAAUUCUAAAAAAUGAGAAGCGAAAAUUUGAUAACAGUGGAUUCGCAGUUUUCCAGAUCUACUUGUUACAAUACCCUUAUAUUAUACCUUUUCCAUUGAAUAACCAUAUUUUUCCAUAUUUAUUCUUCCAGAAAUAUCACCUACUUUAUCAGAGAUCACAGCUUAUCCACUAAAGCCUGAGGUCAAUACAGAAACCACUUUUACAAUAAAUAUAUCAGGGUUUGCUCCAAAGCACAUAGAAGUGAAAUGGUUUAAAGAUUUCAAGAUCUUAACCGAAAAUAUUAUAACAUCGGAACAGAAAAUUGGAAAGGGCGGUUUAUUUUUCUGUACAAGUACAGUGAAAUAUAUCCCAGAAGGGAAUGAUAAGCAGAUUCGUUGUGAAGUGCUUCAUGGGUCCAACAAGAAAAGGCAAGAAAAAUGCUAUAUGUUGAAUUUCAAAGGUAGGUUACUAUGCUUUCCCACAUUUGUGUUUUAUUUAAUCAUUUAAUAUUUACAAUGUAUGUAUUGCGUGAUAAUGUAUUUCUUACAGAACAAUGCAAUGAUGUGAUGGAUAGACUGUUUUACCUUAUAAUUAAUAAGCAGUGACACCAGCAGUUGUCUGUAAUAACUUAUAAUCUAUGAGUAACAAUGACAGCAUUAGACUGUAAUAACUUAUAAUUAGCAAGUAGUGAUGUCAGAACCAUCCUGUAAUUACAUAUAGUAGAUGAAGAGUUAUGUCAGAACUAUACUAUAAUCAUUGAUAUAAAUAUUCAUGUCAGAGCUAGAUUGUGAUAAAUUAUAGCCAACGAGAAGUGAUGUCGAUGUCAUAACUAGACUCUAAUAACUUAGUCAUAACUUAGUACACGACUAGUGAUAUCAAACCAAACUUUAAUGAGUUACAAACAAAUAAUCAUGAUGAAAUAUACUGUAAUAAUUUAUUUAUUCCAGAAAUAGUCUGUUAUAACAUAAACAAAAUAAGUUGUUUUGUCAUGUCUAGAUUAGUGAUGUCAAAGCUAUAAUAAUAAUAACCUGUAAUCAGCAAGUCACUGGUGUCAGAACUAGUACCUUAAAAUCAAAGUGUAAAUAUAUUAUUAAUAGAAUAAUGCAUCAUCAGUGAUUAGUGAUGUCAGAACUAGACCAAUGUGUAAUGAGAUCAUAUCUAGAUUUAUGCAUAAUUAAUGAUUAGUGACAUCACAACUCAAUGUCAAUAUCAUGUCAUCUGUGGGUAAUGGCAUCACAUAUAAAACAUAUAGAAAGGGAUUAGUCAUCCUAUUUAAAACAUAUAACAGAGGGUUCGUUACACAUAAAGCACACAUUUGCAUUAUCCUGUUUAACACAAUAAAGUAGAGGCGACAAUGCAUGUUUUUAAUAUACACCAUAUACUAGUUAGCCACAACAUUAAAACCACUGACACUGACAUGUGAAGUAAAUAACAUUGAUUAUUUUGUCACAGAGGAACCUGUCAAGGGGUGGGAUAUAUUGGGCAGCAACUGGACAGUGGGUUCUUGAAUUUCAUGUGUAAAAAUGGGCAAACAAACUGAUCUGAGUGAAUUUGACAAGGGCCAAAGAGUGAUGCUAGAUGACUGAGUCAUAGCAUCUCCAACAAGGCAAGUCUUGUGAGGUUUUCCCGAUAUACAGUGGUAGUGGUUGUAGCAGACUCCAUUCCCUUAUGUUCGGUUGUCCAUGCCCCCUUGUUCGUCUCCUGAAUGACUGGUGUGUGGUUCCCUUGUUAUGCCCCAGUAAACACCAACCUCCCCUGGCUGUUAACCACAAAUUAACAACUUGACACCUUUGCUUGAGCGCUUUCCUUGGGUGGCCACCAUUCAUAUAACUGAACGGACGUGGUCCAGUGCAAUGCAGUCACUUUGUCUCCUGAACGCAGACAGCAGUAACUGGUCGUCAAAUGCAUGGAACUGUUUUCAGACUCGCAUCUCCGCGAACCUAGGCAAAGAUGCCACCGCUGCCCGUCCCACUUCCCGACCAACUAGACAAAAGGCAUUCAGGAGAUAGGAUUUACCGAACAGGGGGAGCAUUCACUCCAUAGCAGCCAGGGGAAGCAUUCGUUGGUGUUCGCACAGGAACCCCCGAAAGCCAACUGGCCAUCCUGCCCAAUUCUCUGGAACAGUUUUGGGCUAUCACCACGUGGCCAGUCGGUCAAAACUUUAUUCUAACAUAACUUUCAUUCUACCGAACCAAUCUGAGCGCUUUUUGGAUAUGUUGUGCGCUCAGAUCAAUUCGGGAAUAUGAUUUUUGUGGGGUUCCUAUAUUCUUUUCUGGUAUUUUUGGAAUAUUGUAAAAUAUGUAUGUAAGUUUCUGUGUUUGAGAGAUAAUUAGGCAUGUGCAUGGGGAAAAGUUUCGGUUCGGUUCGGCAUUACAAAAUUCAGGAUUUUUGCAAUUCGGGACUUCGGCAAUUCGGCACUUCAGCAACUUCGGAACUUCGGCACUUAGUAUUAGUAAAUUUUGCCCCUUCUUGCUAUACCGCGAGUAGGGGCAUGUCUAGUAAACAGUGAGCAGCCUGUGGCGAAGCGUGAGUGGGGGCUUUUAAACUAAAGGGGGGAUCUAUUGCCCCCCCGGCCCCCUCCCCUGAGCGGCGGGUGGGUGCCCUUAAGUAAAAUUAUGGGGGGGUGACCUAUUGUCCUCCCCCCUGGCCCCCACCCCUGAGCUGUGGGUGUGGGCCCUAAAUACUAAUAAGGGGGGACCUAAUGUCCUUCCCCCCGGCCCCCACCCCUGAGCGGUGGGUGGGGCUCUAAAUUAGAAUAAGGGAGGGACCUAAUGUCCUCCCCCCUGGCCCCCACCCCUGAGCAGUGAGUGGGGGCCCUAAAUACUAAUAAGGGGGGGACCUAAUGUCCUCCCCCCUGACUCCCACCCCUGAGCGGUGGGUGGGGGCCCUAAAUACUAAUAAGAGGGGAACCUAAGGUCCUCCCCCUUGGCCCCCACCCCUCAGUGGUGGGUGGAGGCCCUAAUUACUAAUAAGGGGGGGGGACCUAAUGUCCUCCCCCCAUGGCCCCCACCCCUGAGCGGCGGGGACCUUUUUUUUCUUUUUUUAACAGGGCUGCUCACUGUUUAAUAGACAUGCCUCUACUCGCAGAAUAGCGAGUAGGGGCAUAAUUUACUAAUACUAAGUAAUCUUUAGGUCUUUCAGCCUUUUAGUAGAUAGCUCCCUAAAAUAGUGGGAAUUAGGGAGUUAUCUACUUAUUCAUUCCUGUCAUUACAUUGACUGGCUAACUAACUUACAUUUUAUAUGAAUGUAUGUUACUUGAUUGUUGUAAGUGUUGCAACUGCUUACAGCUGAAUCCUGGCUAUGUUUGUAUACUUUUUAUUUAAAAUUGUAUACAAUGUAACAUUCUUCUUCUUUCACUGGGUAAAUAUAUUACUACUAAGGCAAUACUGUGCUUCAGAACUUCGGCACUUUUGACACUUCGGAACUUCGACACUUCGGAAAUUCGGUAAUUUUGGACCUUCGGGACCUCGGCAAUUCAGCACUUCGGCAAUUCGGACAUUCGGAAGUACCCGAAUGUCCAAAUUGCCCGAAAUUCGUCCGAAUACAUAUUCGCACUGAAACGAAUUGCACAUGUCUAGAGAUUAUUGAGUUAUCCUAAUUUGAGCUCAAUUAUCUCCCAAACACAGAGGCUCUUGGGAAGAAACCCCUGUGUUCUUGAUAUCAAAACCCCAUGCUAGUGGCCAGUGUAUAAAAGCUGUGUGUGGUAGAUUAAACUUCAGUUGUACUCCCAGAACUGUGUAGUGCAGUUACUGGGGAGGAGGUGGGCUAUUUACUUGGGCCCAGCAUCAGUGGUACCUACCAAAAAUGGCCGGCGUCAGGGUUAUGAGUGUCCAAGGCUCAUCGACGGAGUGAAGGCUAGCCCGUCUGGUCCAAUCACAUAGAAGAAGAGCUACUGUAGCUUAGAUUGCUGAAAACCUUGGUGUCAGAAUACACAGUGCAUCGCAAUUUGCUGCAUAUGAAGUUGUGUAGUCGCAAAUUGGCCAUGAUCACACCUGUCCAUUGCCGAAAGUGUCUUCAAUAGUGACAUGAGCGGACAUGUUGUGGCUGAUCAGUGUAUAUACCAUAUAACACAUAAGAGGGGACACAUUAUAUGAUAUAUAUUUAAAUCUAAACCUAAAAUUAAACCAUUCACCUUAAUCCUAUGUUUAACACCUCAUCUACCCCAAUACUAAAUAACUAAAUUAACCCAACUCUAAUCCUAAACUCAAUAAUCCUAAACAGGCUCUGUAACACAAUUUCAACCCCUUUAAACCUGUUAAUCAUAUUAACACAAAAAAAUCCUAUCUAAUCUAACACACAUUAAAAUGUGCUUUAAUUAUUCAAGCUAAAUGAAGAUAUAUUUAAUAGACUUGUGCAUGGCGACAAAAUUUGUUAUUAGUGGAUUAGAAUAAGAAGAGUAACACUUCCAAUUUUCUGGAGUUUAUGAUCAGCUCCAGAUACGUCGUAAGAAGAAAAAAAAAAGCCCCAGAAAAUAACAUUAAUACCCAAAAUACUGUAAGCAUUAAUGCUUAUUACCAAAUUUGAAUAAUAAUGAGCAAAAUUAUAAAAGUACCAUAUCACGCAAAAUAUUCACAUACCGAAAACCUUUCUAAUAACCGCAGCCUCAAGCCCUCCCCCACACUUUCUUGUUACAAAUCAUAACCUCCAUCAAAAUCGAAAGAAAAAAAAUAUCUACAUAAUCCAAUAAUCAGAACAAUAAUUAUCUGGAAAAAAAAAUUAUGUUCUGCGCAUCAAGUAUAAUUAAAUGCCUAGAAGAAGAGUAUCUGCUCCGUCGGGAUUAUGUAUUAGUUCCCAAUAAUGUAGGAGGCCCUUUUGUCCAGCCAUGCCUUCGCAUCUCCUGGCUUCUGAAAAGAUUUCCUUUUACCUUCAUCUUGGAUUAUCAAGCAUACCGGAAAAUUAUUUAAAAGGACUUAAUUAUUUGUCUAAUAUAGAGGGAUGAGUCUCGCAAAAUUAAAAUAUUUUUAAAUCUCAUACCUCUUUCAGUAUUUACUCUAUUUGUUUUUAGGACACCUUCUUUAUAUUUGGGGUUGAUAGAGAAACAUAUCAGCUCUCUUUUUGCAUUUUGGGGAUGAUAGAGAAACAUACUAGCUCUCUUUUUGCACAUUGUGCACCUAUAUUUAAAAAAAAAAAAAAAAAAUUGUAAAAAUUCUCUAUUUUGUCUUGGGAGAUGUCCUCUGAGAUAUUCCAGAAAAGUAAAUUAAGGCGUGUGGACCUGACUUCCAGGUCUGAAAUUUUUCUUUCCAGCGUAGAAACAUUGUAUUCCAACUUUACAAUCUGAAUCGCAUUCUCUUUACUUGUUUGAAAGGAUGAGUAAAUUUUUUCUUCCAUCUUCUCCACACGGUUACUCAGGGCUAUAAUAUAAUUUUUAAUUCCCUUAGAGUUCACUCGAAUCUCACUUUUAAGUUGUUCUAAAAGUUGUGAUUUUCCAGCUGUAGAGAGGUGACUCCUUGCUCAUUCCUUUCUGGAGAAUUUAUCGGACGGUGACUCCUCCAAGAUUGCAGGGCCUAUAAUACCACUUUAUGCUCCUUGUAUAGAGGUGUCUGCAGUAUUAUCCAAGACUCCUUUGUGUGUUAUCUGGGAGGAAUUUGUUUUUCUAUCUUUUGUGUUAUUUGUGUUAUUUGUUUUUCUAUCUUUUUUUGGCAGUUUCCCAGGUUUUCUGUUAGUCAUUUUUUGUCAAUUAAUUUUCCAGCUUUUUCCUAAAUCCAAAUUGCAGAUGGUAAGGAAGAUCUACCCCUCUCUCUUACCUCCUCUGCUUCUAAUAGCAGACAUUUGUAAAUAUUUCACAGGAAAUAUUAUAAGCAAAGUAUUUGUUUCAGAGUAUAAAUAAACAAUUAUGAUUUUUUUUUUAGUUGGUUAUUCAGCAUUAUUCUGCUUUCUACUUCAACCUUAAUUAGAUCUCUUAUCCUUGAUGACAGGCAAAUAACAGUUUUUACUAUAAGUCAAAUCAUAUAAUUUCAAACAUGUAACUUGAUCCAGACAUUUAGACCAUAAUUAGCCUUUACACUGCUGAUGGUCAGGGCCGUCUUUAACAUUAAAUGGACCUUUGGCAAGCAUUUGCUUAGGCCCCUGGAUCCUGCCUCCCCCUCACACUUGCACCCCCUGACAUGCGAUCAUGCCCUCCACCCCAACACAGUGGCAGGACGAAUGUAGAGACGGCUCUGGUGCAAGACAUUUUUUGGGCCUCCCCUCUAGCUCAAGAGUGGAGAAAAGAUAGAUUCUCAUCUGUCGUACAGCACCCACAAUGCCAUGCCAGCUGGGAAUUUACAAUUUGGACAUUCUAGCAGGGCUGUAUUUGAUGGCAGUGUUUGUGCAUUUGAAUGUGAGCAUGUUUUUGUAUAGAGUAUGUGUGUGCAUGUAGGGUGUAGUAUUGGUGUUUGAUUGAAGGGGUGUAUUUAUAUAUACUUUUUGAAUUUGAAUUCAGGGGUGUGUUUGCAUGUAAUGUUUGUGUUUGCAUGUUGUGUUUGCUGGGAUAUAUGCAUAUGCAUUCUAUACAUUCACAGAUCUACAUACACAUUAGCAUGCAGAAACACAUGAACACACAUGGACACAUGCACACACUGACACAAACACACAAGCUCAUACACUAGGAUACACACAGAUACAGUCACACACAAACACACACUCAGAUACACACACUUUGAUACACACACUCAGAUACACACAGACACAUAGGUACACAUACACAGAGGUACACAUGCAGGGGUGUAUUUGUGUGCGAUGUUGGCGUACGCAUGCUGGUAUGUAUGCAUUGCCACAUAAACAGAUGCACACUUACACAAACACUGAGAUACACACAGGAUCACAGAUACACAUGCAGUGGUGUAUUUGAGGGCAAUGUUAACGUUGGAAUGUAGUAGUGUUUUUGUGUGCAGUGUUGGCGCAGGAAUGUAGUAGUGUUUUUGUGUGCAGUGUUGGCACUGGAAUGAUGGUGAGAUGUAUGCAUUGCUACAUGCAUAGAUACACACUUACACACACUGAAACAUAUACACACACAGGUACACAUACACAGACAUGCAGGUACACAUACAAAUUGACACAUAAGUACACAUAUACAGACACAGGUAUACAUACACACUGACACACAGGUGCACAUGCACUGUCAAAAACACAGCCAGAUACACACAUACCGUCAGAUACAUACACUGACACACAUACAGUCAGAUGCAUACACUGACACAAACACAGCCAGAUACACACACUGACACACACAGCCAGAUACACACACACACAGAUAGAUAAACACACUGACAAAAAAAAAACGGCCAGGUGCACACUCAUAGUCAGACACAUACACAGCCAGAUACACACACACACACACACACAGAUACACACACUGACAAAAACACAGCCAGAUACACACACUGUCACAGACCCAGAUACACAACAUAUAGCUAUCAAUUUACACAGUUUAGCCAUCCUCCUUUCUCCUUACCUUUACAGAAGGGUGGCUUUCCAGAUACACAAACAGCCAGAUACACACAUACAGUCAGAUACACACACUGACAAAAACACAGUCAGAUACACACACUGACACACACACACAGCCAGAUAAACACACUGACAAAAAUACAGCCAGGUACACACUCAUAGUCAGAUACAUACACAGCCAGAUACACACAAUGACAAAAACACAGCCAGAUACACACACUGACACAGACUCAGGUACACAUCAUAUAGCUAUCAAUUUACACAGUUUAGCCACCCUCCUUUCUCCUUACCAUUACAGAAGGGUGGCUUCCCUGGGGUCCAGUUGGAGAUGGAUGGCUGAGGUUGAUGGUAGUCUGAGGAACCUGCUAUCUCAGUCCCUCUCAUUCUCCUUGGUGUGUGCCUCCUCCUCCUUUUCUUCCUCCAUUUGUGCCUCCUCCUCCCCAGCAGCACUCUGUUACUUUUGAGGAAGUGGUCUGACAUCACUUCCUCCCAGCAGGCAGAAAGACAUGGCCAGGUCUGGAGCACACUUGAAGGGCCAGAGGCCCCUGAUUACAUCACCUGCUGCAGCCCACCGGGAAAUUUCUCAGGAUCCCAGUGGGCUGUCAGGUCCUGGUUGCAGGCAGGGGGCCCCCCAGGAGUAAUUGGGCCCGGGGCAGCUGCCCAGUUUGCCCCUUGUUAAAGAUGGCCCUGCUGAUGGUACUGAUUUCUAUUUCAUAAUAAGCACUUGUGCCAUAAAUUAUUCCAAAAAAAGACUAGCUUGCCCCUGUAAUAGUUGAAAAACUCACAGUGAUCCAGAUGCAAGUAGUAAGAUAGAUACAGCUGGUGAGCCCGCUGUAUAUCUACCAAUGUCUGACAUAAACAAUUCAUGCUUAAGUCUUAAUGUGCCAAAAGCUAGUUUUUAAAAUCCCUCACUUAUAAAGUUAUAUAAGAAGCUGACCAUAAUAUUUGUAGAGAAAAAAAAAAAAGAGUAUGUUACUCACAGUAUCGAUGGAAAAUCUUAUGGAGCAAUAAAAAUCUGCCAUGAAAGGGGAAGCAAGUAGUUACUGACUUACAUUCAUCCUGGUUUGGCUUUGAGGAAUAUCAAAUGUUCCUUCAUCUCCUUUAUGCUACGUUCAGUCAUCGGGGUGGAACCUCUCUGUACCCUCUGUCUCUCUACCAAGGGAGCACUACCCACUCCGAUGCCCACCACGGCAUUCCAACUCCACAGCAGGGACUCCCUCUGUCUGCUUCCAUGUGUGGCCGCUCCAUCAGGUCGUCAGUUUAUCGCACCUCAGCGCUUGGUUCCUAGAGCGACUAGACGUGCAUGCUCAUGUCAUCACUGCUCCCCCGAUCAGCUCCAGAUAUGUCGCCUGGGCAAUACAAUCCCCACGUAUGGAUAUGUUGCUGAGCUCAUCACCUUAUAGGAAGGUGUUCUAGACCAAGAGAUGACUUGUGGUACCAAGCGUUUGCCAGUAUUCUCCUCCAAAAUGCAGCAUUGUGGCAGUGGAAAUUCACGAGUAUAUGGAAUGAGAAUAAAAACAGAAUCUAGUGCUCUAUAGGACUAGGAUGAAAGUGUAUAAAAGGUGAUAUACGCACAUAAGGAGAGCAAAAAGAAGGAUUUGCUCAAUCCCAUACAGUGUAGGUGGUAUCUUCCCCACCAAGGAAAUAAAAGUGUGAAUCCUGCAGAUAAAAUCUUCAGAGACUAAAUCAGGGAGGUCCAACUUAAAUAAUAGACUUGUUUUACUAUUCAACUUGGACCUUCCUGACUUUAUCUCUGAGUUAAAUCAAUUUGUUUAUACAACUCUAGACAUAGCUCUCUUUAGUGCCUAUAGUGUCCCUUUAAGUAUCUGCUAAAAAACCACUGGAUCUAAAAAUCUAAAAUCUAAAAAUCAUUUGGUGAUUUUUUUUGUUUUUUUACAGUUUGACUAUUUUGACAUUAAUUCACUUUGAAUUUCCAUCAAUUCUCACUAUAUUAAAUAAAUGUUAAGUUGCAAUAGAAAACUAGCUUAGGCAAUUAUACAGAGAGUUUAUGCCUCCCAGUGGUCAUAAGUCAGAUCUACAAAUCUCAUCUACUUUUGAGAUGUGAUUUUCAGGUGUUUGUUGUUUUUCUCUCACGUCUGAAUUAAUACACAUCUACAGUAUCAUACAAAUAAAAUAAUACAUCUAUGCCAGCGGUUCCCAAACUGUGUGCUGCUGCGCCCCUGGGGCACGGCAACAGAAACACAGGGGUGCCGUGUAAUGUUUCUGCUGAACAUUACUGAAACAUUACUGCUGAACAGGGGCCCGAUCGGGUGACACAGUGCUUUAAGACCGCGAUCGGGCCUCUGUAACGUCAGCCGUCUGGGAGUGACAUGCAGUUAGACAGCGCGGGAGGUAGAGGAGACAGCCAAAGCAUUAUGGGAGAGGAGCACAAAGACCUCCAGACCCAUCACUCCCACCAGCAGCAGCAGGACUCCAAGCCCCGUCCUGGACAGGAGGGUGUCUGUGCCUGGAUAUAUUAAAAAUAUCACUAGUGUGUAUGAGUGUGUAUGUAUGCAUGAGUGUGUGUGUAUGUAUUUGUGUGUCUGUGUGUGUGUAUGUAUGAGUGUGUAUGUAUGUGUGUAUAUAUGUAUGUGUGUGUCUGUGUGUGUGCGUGUGGGUGUAUGUAUGUGUGUGUGUGUAUGUAUGAGUGUGUGUGUGUGUGUGUGUGUGUGUGUAUAUAUGUAUGUGUGUGUCUGUGUGUGUGUAUGUAUGAGUGUGGGUGUGUGUCAGGUUGUGCAUCUGUGCAGUCUGUGUCUGUGUCAGUGUCUGUGUGCGCACACACAUCUGUGUGUCAGGAUAUGCAUCUGCGUAUGUGCAUCUGUGUGUCAUUGUAUGUUCUAAAUCAGUGUGUGUAUCUGUAUCAUUCAUGGUGUGUGCAUGUAUCAAUGUUUGUGUGUUUGAGUGCAUGUGUGUGUAUAUGUUGGUGUAUGCAUGUGUUAAGGUAUGUAUCAGUGUGUGUGUAUGUAUAUGUUGGCGUAUGCGUGUUUUAAGGUAUGUAUCAGUGUGUGUGUAUGUGUUGGUGUGUAUCUAUGUGUGUGUAUGUGUCGUGUCUAAAUUAAUUUGUGUGUUAUGUAUGUAUGUGGUAGUGUUUGUGCAUACAUCCAAGCAGUCAUACACCAACACAGCAAACACACUCCUGCAAUCUAACACAAAUAUUACAUACAAACACACCCCUGCAUUCAAACCCCAAAAGGAUAUACAAACACACUGUUUCACUCAAACACAAAUACUUUACAUAAAUGUACACCUGCAUUGAAAAAAGUGAACAAGACAUUCAAAAACACCCCUGCAAUCAAACACAAACAUUACACCCAGGACAUACUUGAAAACGAGAGAAAUCUGAAUGUAUCCUUACUGGUAAAAUAUUUGUCAAUAAUAAUACAAACACACCUCUAUAUUAAAACACAAAAACUAUAUACAAGCACCUCUUCAAACACCAACACUGUACAUUACACUAUAGCGCCAGUAAAUGCCGCAGCGCUGUACAGAUAUACAACCUAGUAAUUUUGACUUGGGGUGCCUUGGAAAAUUAUUAAAAUAUUAAGGGCGCUUUGAACCUAAAAAGUUUGGGAACCACUGAUCUAUGAUAUUGUUUGCAUUUUAAAUGGUUUCUAAUAAAAGUAAAAUUUGAACGCUUUUCCCUGCAUUGUUAGUAAGCACCUUUGUUGUCUUUACUUAGCACAUGAGUUCUUACACUGUUGACAUGAAUUAUAUGAUGUUAAAAACCUUGCUAGUUUUGCCAACUGUUUGUGUUUUACAAAUCAAAAAAACUAUAAAAAAAAGCUUGCUAUAACCAAUAUUUGUGUGUAUAAAUAAAGCAAAGAGUUAAUUUUGACAGUAUAUACAUAUAUUUUUACGUUAGUUCACUGAUUGCAAAUUAUAUUUGUAUUUGUUAGGGAAUCCUGGAAUUGUGUCUGAAGACGGAGGUCCUACAAAUCCAGUUAUGCCACAAUUCGGUAAGUAACGUUAACCAUAUGGGAAUAAACCCAAUCUUUAUAAUGUUGCCUAUGACAGUUUUUAUACGGUUUCAAAAUUAUUUCAGAGUAGGCGUGCAAUACAAAGUAAAUUCUGGAGAAAUGUAUCCAAACAUUAAGGGAAAUAAUAAUCUUAAUAUAUUUUAAUAUUGUGGCAAUAAACCUGGAUCAAAAAUGGUAGCAGGCCCCUUCUCACUUAGUAGAUUGUCUACUGAAAUGCCUUCUGAGAGCUAUCUACAGGUGAUACUCCAAAAAUUAGAAUAUCAUACAAAAGUUCAUUUAUUUCAGUUAUGCAAUAUAAAAGGGGAAACUAAUAUAUGAGAUAAAUGCAUUACAUGCAAAGCAAGAUAGUUCAAGCCGUGAUUUGUCAUAAGUGCGAUGAUUAUGGCUUACAGCUCAUGAAAACCCCAAGUAAUCUCAGUAAAUUAUAAUAUUACAUGCAACAAAUAAAACAAGGAGUGUACAUAGAACAAUAUCAGACCUCUGAAAAGUAUAAGCAUGCAUAUGGACUCAGUACUUGGUUUGGGCCCCUUUUGCAGCAAUUACUGCCUCAAUGCGACAUGGCAUGGAAGCUAUCAGCCUGUGACACUGCUGAGGUGUUAUGGAAGACCAGGAUGUUUCAAUAGCUGCCUUCAGCUCUUCUGCAUUGUUCGGUAUCAUGUCUCUCAUCUUUCUCUUGGCAAUGCCCCAUAAAUUCUCUAUGGGGUUCAGGUCAGGCGAGUUUGCUGGCCAAUCAACCACAGUAAUCCCACGGUCAUUGAACCAGGCUUUGGUGCUUUUGGCAUUGUGGGCAGGUGCCCAGUCCUGCUGGAAAUUGAAGUCAGCAUCCCUAUAAAGCUUCUCUGCGGAAGGAAGCAUGAAGUGCUCCAAAAUCUCCUGGUAGAUUGCUGCGUUGACCCUGGACUUAAUGAGGCACAGUGGACCAACACCAGCAGAUGACAUGGCUCCAGCAGAUGACAUGACUGUAGAAACUUCACACUGGACUUUAAGCAUCUUGCAGUGUGUGCCUCUCCAUUCUUCCUCCAGACUCUGGGUCCUUGGUUUACAAAUGAGAUGCAAAAAUUGCUCUUAUCAGAAAAGAGGACUUUGGACCACUCAGCAACAGACCAGGUCUGUUUUCCUUUAGCCCAGGUAAGAUGCUUCUGGUGUUGUUUGUUGUUCAGAAGCGGCUUGACAAGAGGAAUAGGACAUCUGAAGUCCAUGUCCAGGAUCCGUCUGUGUGUGGUGGCUCUUGAUGCACUCCUUGUGAAAGUCCCCAACACAUUUGAAGGCCUUUUCCUGACAAUCCUCUCCAGGCUGUGGUCAUCCCUGCUGCCUGUGCACCUUUUUCUUCCACACAACUUUCUAUUAAUGUGCUUUGAUACAGCACUUUGGGAACAUCCAACUUCCUUCGCAAUUACCUUUUGAGGCUUUCCCUCCUUAUGGAAGGUGUCAAUGAUGGUUUUCUGCACAACUGUCAGGUCUGCAGUCUUCCCCGUGAUUGUGAUUCGUACUGAACCAGACUGAGAGACCAUUUAAAGGCCCAGAAACCCUUUGCAGGUGUUAUGACUUACUUAGCUGAUUAGAGUGGGACACUGUGAGCCUAGAAUAUUGCACCUUUUCACAAUAUUCUAAUUUACUGAGAUUGUGGAUUUGGGGUUUUCAUGAGCUGUAAGCCAUAAUCAUUGCACUUAUGACAAAUCACGGCUUGAACUAUCUUGCUUUGCAUGUAAUGCGUCUAUCUCAUAUAUUAGUUUCCCCUUUUACGUUGCAUUACUGAAAUAAAUGAACUUUUGCACGAUAUUCUAAUUUUUUGAGUAUCACCUGUAUGUAUUUAGCAUUGAACAUGGAAGCCUCCAGGCAGAUAAAAUAUUUCUCAAAUAUACUUUGUGAAACAUGGAACAAACCCAGAACUAACACAAACAUAAAACACACAAAUAUAGAAAAAAACAUUAGUUUUAUAAUGAAAUUAACAGAGGGGGGAAAAAAACAAGAAAUUAUCUUCAACUAACUCUAAAAUUACAUUUUUCUUUUUUCUUAAGUAAGAUUUUAUUAAAUUAUGGAAAAAUAUAGAUGGAGUUCAGAAACUGAGAAAUUAUUAUAUAUGCUAUAAAUAUAAUGCACUUUACGUGCAGAUAACCCCUAUAGAACUUCAGGAACUUCAGUGUUCUAAGUGUUUUUAAGUGCCUUUUUAAAAACUCUCUGUGAUUGACAGAUUUAUUCACUAUUCAGCAGGGUUAUACAUUAAAGUGAGAAAUAAAAAUAAAUUCAAAAUUGUAUGUGAAAGUUGUCGACUGGAAGCUUAAUUGACUUGGAGAAUUUUUCCACUUCAACCUUUUGGCUUAAAAUUUGAAAUUUUUUGUCUUCUCUUUGAAUUCCCAACAAUUCUCACUGUAGUAUAUAACUGUGCUCUGGUUGACAAAAUGUACAUAUAUUUUUACGUUAGUUUACUGAUUGCAAAUUGUAUUUGUUAGGGAAUCCUGGAAUCGGACCUGUAGACGGAGGUCCUAGAGAUCCAAUUGUGCCAAAAUUUGGUAAGUAGCAUUAACCAUAUGGGAAUAGACCCAAUCUUUACACUGUUUCCUAUGACAGUUUUUGUACGGUUUCAGAAUAAUUUCAGAGUAGACGUGUGGUAUAACCAUUAUAGGGUAAAUAAUAAUAAUAAUAAUCCAACCAGCCAGCACAAGUAUUUCUGUCAGUUAGCAACACAUUUGCUGUAGCACCUGUCUCCAGUUAUCUUGCUGUUAAUUAAGACAACUCUCCAUGCAGUCUAGAAUUUCCCUACUGCCUUGAUGUACAGGUCGUACAUAAAUAGAUUUCUAAUGCAAGGCCAGUCAUUCAUUGUGAGUGUCAGCUGAUGCUGUCAGCCUAUAACAUGCUACCAGUGCAAGACUUCUGCAUUGAAGCUAUAGGCAGUGGAAGAGGGGCCUGUAUGAGGGACAGUGUCUGCAGUACUUUGAGGUUAAACAUUAACGGUUUAAUUCCUUUAAGAAUUGUACUCACUUAAUGACCAUACACUGUCAUGCAGUGCAAGACUUUAACGUCCCUUGAUGGCAUAGACUGUCAUGUUAAAUCCCUGCUUGUAGCAAGGGACUCUCCAGGAUAUUUUUCUGGAGAGUUCCUCUCUGUCAGCUGACAUAUGAGCCAUGUGCAGCUUUCAAAGUAAGCUCUGCGUAUAGCCCUUUAAAUCCUUUUAAAUGCAUUAUUAACUCUGCUCUCAGUAUGCUAUUUAAAAAUAAGGGGACCCCAGGUACCUGGAGUCCCCUCUUUCAGUUGGAACCACAGUUAGAUGGUGGGAUUAAUGGUGGGAUUAAGGGAUGGAGUAGGAGCAAGAUUAUGGGAAAAGGUAUUCAUGUGGGGUAUCAUAGUAAUCGAUAACAGUGGCAAAAUACAAAUAUGGGGUGUUUGCAGUACUGAGACACUCAUGGUCUGUGAAUUUUCCAAAAAUAAAACCCAUGUGCAAACACAAGAAAUGAAUUAAUUUGAUCUUAAUUUAUGAUAAAAUAGUUAAUUGAACAGUGUCAAAAUGCUUUUAGUUACGUUGCAUUGGGGAUGUCCUUUCUACAAAUAUGUACUUUUGGAUUCUGUGACUACUAUGAAAGUUGUUAUCUCAGUAUGCCACAUUUUGCUGAGUUAUAGCUUUAAAACACAUUAAUUCGCUCUAAGAAUGCACUGAAAUCCUGCACAUAUUGCGUAUUUUAACAAUUAGGAACAGUUAGUGAAUCACUUUUGAAUUAGCUUUCUCUAGUUGCACUUUGUGUGUAGAAAUGAUUAAAUGCAAAACUGAGGAAGAUUUUUUUUUUUUUUUUGUUUAUAUAUAUAUGUUAUGUAUACAUAUAGAGUACCAAAAUAAAGCCAUGUUUCUACUUUAAAAAGAGUGAAUUUAUGGAAAAAGUGCCAAAAAGGCCUUUCUCGCAAAAGCAUCACAUCUCAAAAAAGCCUUGGGGCGUAAGGGGUUACGUUUCUUUGUAUGAAAUUAUUUUUUUCAGAAGGUAUUUGUGAAUGCAGAGAAUUAUUUUUAAGAAAUAUCUAAAAAUAAUGUAAUAGGUACUUUUGCUAGAUUGAAAAGCACUCGUCAUAUAUGUUUGUAUAAUGGAGAACUGUUAAAUUGGGAAUUGGUCAUAUAUCGAUCCUUAUAACUGCAAUUUGAUGGGGUUUUUUUGAUUGUGAACUAUAUAUAACGCUAUAGAUAAUCAAACAAAUAUAUAUUAAUGUGGUAAUAUUAAUGUUGUAAUAUUGAAAUUUGUAUAAUUUGUAUAAUUAUUGUAUAUUUGAUAUAUAUAAAAGAAAAAAAAACAUUCAUAAAUAAAAUAAAUAGAAAAAAAAAAGAAAAGCACUCAUCAUAAAAUUUUUUUUAUAUUUCUUUUUAAAGUUGUGAUUAAAUAAUAUAAUUAUUGUAAUUAUUGUGAAUAAAUUGAUUGAGUUUGAUGACAAUGUUACUUUCUUUAUAAAGGUGAAGGAAAAAAGCCACGUUCACAAGGAAUUAUUUGUAAGACCAAAAAUCCUAGACCUGGAGAAGAUGUCAUGCUAGCAUGUUGCAUUAACGGACUGGAUUCAAGUAAUGGCGUGUUCUCUUGGUACAACGGGAUGUUCGCCAUAGUAGACAACAUCCACGCAUUCAACAAAAGUGAUGGCUCUGGCUGCAUUUCCACAGUUACUUUUAAACCAGACAAAUCCGAAACUGAAUGUCAGAUCCGAUUUGAUGCUACCUUUAACUAUGAAACUAUCGAAGAAAAUUAUGUUCUUAAACUGGCUUAAUGAUUGUUCGAUCGGUGAAACGCUAAACCUUGGUAUAGAUGAAGGACAUUAGUCUCGGGUCACUCAUCAGCACAGGGUACUGAUACCUCUUUGUAUAUUACAAUGGACAGCGUAGGAGAGUAACGGAGCUGUUGUGUUGCUCAUAAAAAACACUGAAAUCUUUACUAUGAACAUACAGCGUGAACACACUCACCCAACACAACUCUAAAUCAACAAGAUUUUAGCAUAUUGUAAAGAUGGAUUUAUCAACUUCAGUGCUUUAAGGAUUUGACGUGCCUCUUUAAGAACUUUCUGUGAUUGACAGAUUUAUUCACUAUUCAACAAGGUUAUACACUAAAGCGUAGAAUGCAAAAUAAAUGUAAAAUUUAAUGCGAAAGUUGCGGAGCUGGAAGCAUAGCUAACUAUGAGAACUUGAAUAGUGUUCAAUAUCCCAAUGAGUGAAACCAAAACGUCAAUAAUACUCUAGACACCUUAUGUGGGUAUUCCCUUUAUCCCCACAAAACCACAAAGAUAUACAUACAGUAUAAGGUGGAGUAUAUAAAUAGGAAUUCUUCCAAGUGUAAUGUAAAACAGGAUAAUGUUCUUUAACAAUUCCCUAAAAAUUAACACAAAUAGGGAGAAAGAAUAGUGCAAUAUUGCCAAUACAAAGUUUAUAAUUAUAAUAGGUAGGU
rnacentral:lncRNA from 1 species